GGGGCUUACAAGAUAUUCAGGUGGGGCAUCCAAGGCAUUCAGGUGGGGCUUACAAGGUAUUCAGGUGGGGCAUCCAAGGCAUUCAGG